AUGUCGAUGACGAGUGAAGCCUGUGCCAAGAUUGGAGUCCAAAUCAUCAUCUUCAUCUUGUAAAAAUGCAGCAGGUUUUGUUCUACCUGCAGCAGCAUCGAGCUCAAUAUCACGUCGUCUCAACCUGGCAUCAACAGCUCUUCGGGCCCCGAUAUCUAAUUCUUCAAGAUCGUUAUCGUCAUCUAGUUCUUCAAUGUCAUAACGAUCUAGCUCCAAAUUUUGUUGAUAAUCACUAUACAGUUAGAAAAAAGUACCUUAUUUGACGCGAAAUGUGAAACUACUCUUUUGAAAAUCAAGAUUUGUUCUGUCAAUAUAACCGCAACCUAGGAAUCCAAUAAAUAUAUUUAUUUACAAGAAGGAGAAGAAAUAGUAUGUAAUUUAUAUAUUGAUGGCAACACUUAGUAUACACAACAUUGACAAGACACGUCUCAAGCAUAGCUAUAAAACUUACCGUUCCAUUCCUUCUCCGAACAAAUCUUCACCUUCUUCAUCCUCUACAUCUAAAGCUUCUCCGUCCAGAUCCUCAAUAUCCUCCUCCACGAGAGCUUCUGCAGCUUCAUCAGAGAAUUCUGGAGGAGGUGAAGAAGGAGGUAAAGAAAGAGGUGUAGCACCGAGAGAAGAAUUUUCUGAUUCAAAAGGUAAACUUUCAGAAUCGCGGCGACCCCUUUUCCGAAAAGAAUCCAUCUUUGGACUCAAAUACUUUAAAGAUGUUGUUUCUAACUAUUUUAAUGCAUUGAAUAGCUAGAGUAUUGCAGGAUGAAAGAAUAAGAAAUGCUACAGUAUAUUGUUAAAUUGUAUUGGAAAAUGUAGUGAUACCUGUAAAUGAAAUAGAGGAGCGUAAUG